rnacentral:rRNA from 1 species
AGUGAACGCUGGCGGUAGGCCUAACACAUGCAAGUCGAACGGCAGCACAGUAAGAGCUUGCUCUUACGGGUGGCGAGUGGCGGACGGGUGAGGAAUACAUCGGAAUCUACUUUUUCGUGGGGGAUAACGUAGGGAAACUUACGCUAAUACCGCAUACGACCUACGGGUGAAAGCAGGGGAUCUUCGGACCUUGCGCGAUUGAAUGAGCCGAUGUCGGAUUAGCUAGUUGGCGGGGUAAGGGCCCACCAAGGCGACGAUCCGUAGCUGGUCUGAGAGGAUGAUCAGCCACACUGGAACUGAGACACGGUCCAGACUCCUACGGGAGGCAGCAGUGGGGAAUAGUGGACAAUGGGCGCAAGCCUGAUCCAGCCAUACCGCGUGGGUGAAGAAGGCCUUCGGGUUGUAAAGCCCUUUUGUUGGGAAAGAAAAGCAGCAGGUUAAUACCCCGCUGUUCUGACGGUACCCAAAGAAUAAGCACCGGCUAACUUCGUG